GAAACCGUGUACGUACAAGCAGUGGGAGCACGCUUAGGCGUGUGACUGCGUACCUUUUGUAUAAUGGGUCAGCGACUUAUAUUCUGUAGCAAGGUUAACCGAAUAGGGGAGCCGAAGGGAAACCGAGUCUUAACUGGGCGUUAAGUUGCAGGGUAUAGACCCGAAACCCGGUGAUCUAGCCAUGGGCAGGUUGAAGGUUGGGUAACACUAACUGGAGGACCGAACCGACUAAUGUUGAAAAAUUAGCGGAUGACUUGUGGCUGGGGGUGAAAGGCCAAUCAAACCGGGAGAUAGCUGGUUCUCCCCGAAAGCUAUUUAGGUAGCGCCUCGUGAAUUCAUCUCCGGGGGUAGAGCACUGUUUCGGCAAGGGGGUCAUCCCGACUUACCAACCCGAUGCAAACUGCGAAUACCGGAGAAUGUUAUCACGGGAGACACACGGCGGGUGCUAACGUCCGUCGUGAAGAGGGAAACAACCCAGACCGCCAGCUAAGGUCCCAAAGUCAUGGUUAAGUGGGAAACGAUGUGGGAAGGCCCAGACAGCCAGGAUGUUGGCUUAGAAGCAGCCAUCAUUUAAAGAAAGCGUAAUAGCUCACUGGUCGAGUCGGCCUGCGCGGAAGAUGUAACGGGGCUAAACCAUGCACCGAAGCUGCGGCAGCGACGCUUAUGCGUUGUUGGGUAGGGGAGCGUUCUGUAAGCCUGUGAAGGUGUGCUGUGAGGUAUGCUGGAGGUAUCAGAAGUGCGAAUGCUGACAUAAGUAACGAUAAAGCGGGUGAAAAGCCCGCUCGCCGGAAGACCAAGGGUUCCUGUCCAACGUUAAUCGGGGCAGGGUGAGUCGACCCCUAAGGCGAGGCCGAAAGGCGUAGUCGAUGGGAAACAGGUUAAUAUUCCUGUACUUGGUGUUACUGCGAAGGGGGGACGGAGAAGGCUAUGUUGGCCGGGCGACGGUUGUCCCGGUUUAAGCGUGUAGGCUGGUUUUCCAGGCAAAUCCGGAAAAUCAAGGCCGAGGCGUGAUGACGAGGCACUACGGUGCUGAAGCAACAAAUGCCCUGCUUCCAGGAAAAGCCUCUAAGCAUCAGGUAACAUCAAAUCGUACCCCAAACCGACACAGGUGGUCAGGUAGAGAAUACCAAGGCGCUUGAGAGAACUCGGGUGAAGGAACUAGGCAAAAUGGUGCCGUAACUUCGGGAGAAGGCACGCUGAUACGUAGGUGAAGCGACUUGCUCGUGGAGCUGAAAUCAGUCGAAGAUACCAGCUGGCUGCAACUGUUUAUUAAAAACACAGCACUGUGCAAACACGAAAGUGGACGUAUACGGUGUGACGCCUGCCCGGUGCCGGAAGGUUAAUUGAUGGGGUUAGCGCAAGCGAAGCUCUUGAUCGAAGCCCCGGUAAACGGCGGCCGUAACUAUAACGGUCCUAAGGUAGCGAAAUUCCUUGUCGGGUAAGUUCCGACCUGCACGAAUGGCGUAAUGAUGGCCAGGCUGUCUCCACCCGAGACUCAGUGAAAUUGAACUCGCUGUGAAGAUGCAGUGUACCCGCGGCAAGACGGAAAGACCCCGUGAACCUUUACUAUAGCUUGACACUGAACAUUGAGCCUUGAUGUGUAGGAUAGGUGGGAGGCUUUGAAGUGUGGACGCCAGUCUGCAUGGAGCCGACCUUGAAAUACCACCCUUUAAUGUUUGAUGUUCUAACGUGGACCCGUGAUCCGGGUUGCGGACAGUGUCUGGUGGGUAGUUUGACUGGGGCGGUCUCCUCCUAAAGAGUAACGGAGGAGCACGAAGGUUGGCUAAUCCUGGUCGGACAUCAGGAGGUUAGUGCAAUGGCAUAAGCCAGCUUGACUGCGAGCGUGACGGCGCGAGCAGGUGCGAAAGCAGGUCAUAGUGAUCCGGUGGUUCUGAAUGGAAGGGCCAUCGCUCAACGGAUAAAAGGUACUCCGGGGAUAACAGGCUGAUACCGCCCAAGAGUUCAUAUCGACGGCGGUGUUUGGCACCUCGAUGUCGGCUCAUCACAUCCUGGGGCUGAAGUAGGUCCCAAGGGUAUGGCUGUUCGCCAUUUAAAGUGGUACGCGAGCUGGGUUUAGAACGUCGUGAGACAGUUCGGUCCCUAUCUGCCGUGGGCGCUGGAGAACUGAGGGGGGCUGCUCCUAGUACGAGAGGACCGGAGUGGACGCAUCACUGGUGUUCGGGUUGUCAUGCCAAUGGCACUGCCCGGUAGCUAAAUGCGGAAGAGAUAAGUGCUGAAAGCAUCUAAGCACGAAACUUGCCCCGAGAUGAGUUCUCCCUGACCCUUUAAGGGUCCUGAAGGAACGUUGAAGACGACGACGUUGAUAGGCCGGGUGUGUAAGCGCAGCGAUGCGUUGAGCUAACCGGUACUAAUGAACCGUGAGGCUUAACCUU
rnacentral:rRNA from 1 species